rnacentral:rRNA from 1 species
UACAGAGGGAGCGAGCGUUAAUCGGAAUUACUGGGCGUAAAGCGCACGUAGGUGGCGACGUAAGUCGGGUGUGAAAGCCCCGGGCUCAACCUGGGAAUUGCAUUCGAGACUGCAUUGCUGGAGUACGGAAGAGGAGGGCGGAAUUCCAGGUGUAGCGGUGAAAUGCGUAGAUAUCGGGAGGAACAUCAGUGGCGAAGGCGGCCCUCUGGUCCAGUACUGACGCUCAAGUGAGAAAGCGUGGGGAGCAAACAGG